rnacentral:rRNA from 1 species
AGCUCGUAGUUGGAUCUGUGUCUAACGGCGUCGGUUCACCGCUCGCGGUGUAACUGGCGCGCCGGUUGGACGUCCUGCCGGUGGCGGUCCGGGCUGUCGGUGACGUGUAGGUCCGCCGAAGCGUCUCGACAGUUCCGGCCGCCGAUUCAAUCCCGCCGCGGUGCUCUUAACUGAGUGUCGAGGUGGGCCGGCACGUUUACUUUGAACAAAUUAGAGUGCUUAAAGCAGGCUGAUUUACGCCUGAAUACUGUGUGCAUGGAAUAAUGGAAUAGGACUUCGGUUCUAUUUUGUUGGUUUUAAGAAUCCGAAGUAAUGAUUAAUAGGGACAGGCGGGGGCAUUCGUAUUGCGACGUUAGAGGUGAAAUUCUUGGAUCGUCGCAAGACGUACCUAAGCGAAAGCAUUUGCCAAGUAUGUCCUCGUUAAUCAAGAACGAAAGUUAGAGGUUCGAAGGCGAUCAGAUACCGCCCUAGUUCUAACCAUAAACGAUGCCAGCCAGCGAUCCGCCAAAGUUCCUCCGAUGACUUGGCGGGCAGCUUCCGGGAAACCAAAGCUUUUGGGUUCCGGGGGAAGUAUGGUUGCAAAGCUGAAACUUAAAGGAAUUGACGGAAGGGCACCACCAGGAGUGGAGCCUGCGGCUUAAUUUGACUCAACACGGGAAACCUCACCAGGCCCGGACACUGGAAGGAUUGACAGAUUGAUAGCUCUUUCUUGAUUCAGUGGGUGGUGGUGCAUGGCCGUUCUUAGUUGGUGGAGCGAUUUGUCUGGUUAAUUCCGAUAACGAACGAGACUCUAGCCUAUUAACUAGGCGUUCCCGGUAUCCACAAUAGUGCUACCGGCGAAUAAAAUUCUUCUUAAAGGGACAGGCGGCUUCUAGCCGCACGAGACUGAGCAAUAACAGGUCUGUGAUGCCCUUAGAUGUCCUGGGCCGCACGCGCGCUACACUGAAGGAAUCAGCGUGUCUUCCCUGGCCGAAAGGUCCGGGUAACCCGUUGAACCUCCUUCGUGCUAGGGAUUGGGGCUUGCAAUUGUUCCCCAUGAACGAGGAAUUCCCAGUAAGCGCGAGUCAUAAGCUCGCGUUGAUUACGUCCCUGCCCUUUGUACACACCGCCCGUCGCUACUACCGAUUGAAUGAUUUAGUGAGGUCUUCGGACUGGUGCGCGGGGCAGCCUCGUGUGGUCACCGAUGUUGCCGGGAAGAUGACCAAACUUGAUCAUUUAGAGGAAGUAAAAGUCGUAAC